AAUGAACGCUGGCGGCAGGCCUAACACAUGCAAGUCGAACGAAACCUUCGGGUUUAGUGGCGGACGGGUGAGUAACGCGUGGGAACAUACCCUUGGUACAGAACUAGCCUCGGGAAACUGGGAGUAAUACCGUAUGUGCCCUUCGGGGGAAAGAUUUAUCGCCAAAGGAUUGGCCCGCGUUGGAUUAGGUAGUUGGUGGGGUAAUGGCCUACCAAGCCGACGAUCCAUAGCUGGUUUGAGAGGAUGAUCAGCCACACUGGGACUGAGACACGGCCCAGACUCCUACGGGAGGCAGCAGUGGGGAAUCUUAGACAAUGGGCGCAAGCCUGAUCUAGCCAUGCCGCGUGAUCGAUGAAGGCCUUAGGGUUGUAAAGAUCUUUCAGAUGGGAAGAUAAUGACGGUACCAUCAGAAGAAGCCCCGGCUAACUCCGUGCCAGCAGCCGCGGUAAAGUCGUACGA
rnacentral:rRNA from 1 species